UUUGAAGAUGAAACCAUACCAUUGACUAUGGCUAGCAUUUAUGCAAUGUUGUCUUUCAGUUAACCAUCUUUCGGGACUGAGA